GGAGAUGUAGCACAGAUGGUAAAACGUUUGCUUAACAUGCGAGAAAUCACGGGUUUGAUUCCCCAUGUCUCCA